rnacentral:misc_RNA from 1 species
CGUUUCUCACGCUGGACUGCUCGUUGGGACCUCUACUAGACUCGCUCGUGAUUGAUCAGCUUCGCGGACGAUACCUUCCACUCCUCGACUCUCGACGCCUGUUUCCUCAGUCGCAGAUGCACUACAACGUGGAGAAACACACUCUCCUCAUCCUGCGCACCUGCGUGUGCAUGCAAACGUUACGGAAACGUCGAGGGAGAGA